CUUUUAUGAUUGGAAAGAUUGGAGUUAGAAAUCUGAAUUCACUGUUUAUUCUUACCCGCGGAAUUGUUUGACUAUGUGAGGGAUUUCCUUGCUUUUGCAAUGUGAAGUGUUUGUAUCAAAAUAAACAUCGAAGGUUAAAAUUUUGGUGAUGUAAUCCAAAGUUAUUAUGGCACCGCAUCUGAAAGUCAAAUCUACUAAAAUCACUAUUUUUGAUCGAGCAAAGGAAUUUGAAAAUGAAGGAAUGUAUUUUUUUGGACAAAAUUAAAAAAAUCAUGAUGUGUGGAAUUUGUAACAUCAUCGUUAAAUGGGAAAGAAAGUCCAUCAUAGAUUAUCACUGCAUCUCAGAAUCGCACAAAACAAAAAAGCUGAUAAAUGAAAAUAAAAGGAAGCAAAUAUCUAUCCAAGACUCAUUCGAGCAAUCAAAGAAGAACAAAACAUCCCUCUAGAGAAACUGGACGAUCCUGGUAUUCGUGAUUGGAUGAACAAAUACAUUAAAGGAUCUGGUGAUUUUCCAAGUGCAAAUUGAAUCAGAAAGCGUUAUGUUCCGCUUGUGAAAGAUGAGUUUGAAGAGAAACUGAAGGAAACGGUUAAAGAUAAACCUAUGAUUAUUCACUGCGAUGAAACUACUGAUCGAAAAGGUCAAGCGGUUUUUAUAACACUUUUUAAAAUUUUACCUAAUGAGUUUUGCGCUGAAUUAAAAUUAGUGGUAGCCGGAGUAACGGUCCUGAGUACCUGAAAUGCCCAACAAUGUUCACAGGCAAUCAUGAAGACCUUAACGAAAUACGACGUGCAAUAUAACCAUGUAAAAGGCAAAGCGUCGGAUAGUGCACCGUAUAUGACAAGUUGUGUGAACACUUUAAAAGGAAUAAUAAAUUCCGAUCUUGUACACAUACAAUGUUGGUCCCACAAGUUGGACAAGAUCACAAAAAUUUGCCAUGAAAAUUUCAUUCGUCUUAAUGAAUUUGUGUCGAAUACCAAGAAGCUUUUUUAAGAACACGAAAAACGCAAAUAUAGGUAUAUGGAAUAUCUAAAGACAAAAUAUUGCGAAAAUAAGAAGAAAGAUCCUAAAUUAUUUCCUCUGCCAGUAAUGACGAGAUGGGGUUCGUGGAAGAAGUCUUCAGAUUACGUAGAUGAAUAUGGAGACGAUAUAGCUGAAUAUGCUAAAACUGUAACUGAUGAUGUUGAAGCAGUGAAAUAUUUCAAUAAGCUCAGCUUAUUCUUCUUCUACUUGUGGAGGGAUCUAAGUACGCUAUGGCUCAAAUCUUUAUCCAAAUAUUCAAAUGCUAAAAUCUUCUUUUGAUUUCAUUAAAAGAGCAAAGAAAAUCAGCGUAGUCUUAGCAAAAGAAACUAGCACUUUAUUUCAGUUUUUAUCUGAGGAGAAAAGAAAAAACGUGGAAUAUCGCAUGAGAAAAAUCGCAAAAAUUAGUUCAGUGAAAAUUAAUGAACUAAUUGACAAAGAUCCAGCCAAAACUUUCUUUCAAGCUGCAGGAAAUCUGUUUUAUCCUGUUAAAGUAAGGAGUAAUGAUGAUCGUUCAGUCAUUGCUGCCAAGAAUAAUGCGAUUUUCUUCAACGAUAUACCGGACUCCCAAUUUCUAACUGUGUAGAGCAUAUUCAAAGACAAUUUAAAACAUUGUCUUGCCAAAGAACCUAAGCCUAAAGAGGAUCCUGUUCCUAAAAUUCUGAUGGGAAUGCAAGUAAAUCAUUCUCAGAUACCAAUACGAUGUCUUCAAGUGAUUUCCAUGUGAGUCUCAAGUGUAGACGCUGAGAGAGCCUUCUCUGCGUACGCAGAUAUUGUUUCUCCAAAACGCUGUAAUUUAAUUCCUGUAAAUGGAGAGACGAUGCUAAGCAUGUAUUUUGGAACCGACUUAGACUGAUUUUUUGUGAAGUUUUGAGAUU